rnacentral:lncRNA from 1 species
CCUCACUGAAAGUCACGUGCAUCUGUACCAGGACCUGCUUGUUCGGCGUCCGGAGAGCAUUUGGAACAUGUAUGUACAUAUGUUCCCCUGUGCAGUGGGCGCUACGACGGUCUACACGUGAACAAUCUGUUCAACCAUUGUCUGGAAGCUUUGCAUCAACGCCACAAGGAAGAAUUGUGCUGGUAACUUACAUGCCGGGUCCAGAUCCACGUCCACACAAACAGUGGCCGUCGUAGCAGUGGUGUACGUCACGGUUGUCUCUACAAUGACAGCUGUCGCAGUCGGAACGGGCGGCGCAUGUGGCUAUAAAACGUGGAAAUUCUGACUUUCAUAUCAUGAUAAAAUUUUGUCAGGAAGUAAUAACAUUUAUACUUUUAACACAAAAAUGAAAUACAAAGGAUACUUUCAAAUUAAA